rnacentral:lncRNA from 1 species
UCACUCCACACAGAAACCACUGUUAACGCCACAACAGGGGCAGUAUUUUUUGGCACUGACACUUGCUUGGGAUCUUAAUGACGCUCAGAGCAAAGGUGGAUUUUCUUAGAAAAUGUAUGAGAAGAGCUCUCCGAGAAUACUGUGUAAGAACAACUGCUGACAUCUAGUAAGAUUCCUUGUUGGGUAUCACUUUGAGAUAGCUCAACCUCACUUCUGACCCAGGAAUGGCUCCUGAGGAGUGGAGUCCAGGGAAUUACAUCCCAAAACAGGGACGCUUGUUUGCUGAUUACGUCACAUUAAAGUCUGUGAUGUGAAGUAAGGCUGAGUUGCCCUGGAUCCUCUCCACGUAGAUCUUCCCACCGCGGACUCGCUGGGUGUAGAUGGCGUACGGGAAGGAAGAGUCCACCGUGCUAACGAUCUGUACUUCACGCUCAGGAGCAGAGGGCAGAAAGAGAGGCAAACAGAUCCUACCACGGCUGUCAGUUUCCAAGGAGUGACCAGGAGUGGGAAGGCGCGCAGAGUCCCACCAGCUGACAAAGCAGAGAGGGACAGUGUGCAGGAAGAUCUGAAACAAGAUCUGUCUCCAGACCUUGGCCUCAUCUUACAGGAAGGACUUCAGAGAGGACAACUUUACCAACUGAAACCUUGGAAUAACUGACAGGGACUAUGAGCCUCAGUUUCCCCAAGUGCAAGAGGGAAAAGAUUAAAUAAGAUGUCUAUAAAGGCCCUGACUUGGGGACUAAGACAC